ACCAGAGUGGAGGCUUGAAUGGCUUCCAUAAGGCUCAUAUAUUUGAGUGUCGGUCUUUGCAGCUGUAAUACCACCUUUGAUAUUACUACCAAGGUGGGUCACUGUGAUGGUUUGAAUAUUCUUGGCCAGGAAGUGGCAGUAUUAGGAGGUUUUGUUGGUAUAGUUGUGGCCUUGUUGGAGGAAGUGUGUCACUGUGGGAGUGGGCAAUGAGGCCCUGCUCCGAGCUGCCUGGACACAGUCUGCUCCUGGCUUCCUUUGGAUGAAGAUGCGGAACUUCUCCAGCACCAUGCCAGCCUGGACACCUCCAUGCUGCCCACCAUGAUGAUAAUAGACUGAACCUAAGAACCCAUAAGCCAGCCCCAACUAAAUGUUGUGUUUUGUAAGAGUUGCCUUGGUUAUGGUGUCUCUUCACAGCAAUGGAAACCCUAACUAAGACACUGUACUACUGGAUGUGACAAGCAAGAAUGCUAGGUGUUAUAGAGGCUGAACAUACCUGCCCAGUGUACUGAUUCAUUUUUGUGUGUCGACUUGACACAAGCUGGAGUUAUCACAGAGAAAGGAGCCUCCCUUGAGGAAAUGCCUCCAUGAGAUCCAGCUGAGGUACCACUGGACAUAGAAAGCAAAUGGAGAGACAUGGCAAGGAGAAAGGAUGUCAGUACUGAAGCUACUGCUAAGAGCCAAGAAAGGGGCUGGAAAGAGGACUCAGCUGUCAAGAACACUUGCUUCCUUCCAGACAACUCAGGUUCAACUCCCAGAAUCUUCGUAGGGGCUCACAACUGUGUGAACCUCCAGUCCCAGGGGGGAAUCUGAAACCUCUUCUGGUCUGUGCAAGCACCAGGCACAAAAGUGGUACACAGAUACACACAGAAGCUAAACACCCAUACACAUAAAAUAAAAAUGUAAAAA
rnacentral:lncRNA from 1 species